GGAGGGAUGGCAGAGUCUGGUUUAUCGCGGCGGUCUUGAAAACCGCUGGCCCGCAAGGGCCCGGGGGUUCGAAUCCCUCUCCCUCCGCCA
rnacentral:tRNA from 1 species